rnacentral:tRNA from 1 species
GCCUUCGUGGUGUAGUGGUUAGCACACACGACGCGUAACCGAAAGGUCCGUGGUUAGAUUCCUGGUGAGGGCG